ACAGAUCCUAUGUAAGGACCUGUGGCACAAUCCCCUGCAAUACUACAAGAGGAUGAAGCCACCUGAAGAGGGAACAGAGAUUUCAGGGGACUUCUGGAUUUUGAGAUGAAUAUGAUGGAGCAUCAGGCUUUACCUGAAACAG
rnacentral:lncRNA from 1 species